CUAGCCUUUGAGCGUCGCUGCCAACUCAGCGGCCGGGCUUGGUAACCCGUGUU
rnacentral:ncRNA from 1 species